rnacentral:tRNA from 1 species
GGGGAUAUAGCUCAGCAGCACAGUGUCUGCCUGGCAAGCAAGAGGUCAUGAGUUUGAUUCCCAGUAACCCCC